rnacentral:lncRNA from 1 species
CAAAUCCUCCUGGACUGGGACAGGAAAUAAAGCUUGAAAUGUGACCAUCGGUGCCUGUGAUGAGACUGAAAAGACAAUGAGAGCUAACUGCCCCUAGAGAGGAGAGCAGAGUAUGUGUGUCUGUCUGGCAAAAUGUCCAGCAGCCUUCUAUGUUGGGAGAGGGGAUUACUGGAAAGACAGAAUAAAACUCUCAGAGACAAAGGUUACCUCUACUGGGCAUAUACACAAAAGUCCCCUACAUAUAGCAAGGACACAUGUUCCACUAUAUUGAUAAAUCCCUUAUUUGUAACAGCCAAGCUGGAAACAAACCAAAAGUCCCUCAGUAGCAGAAUGGAUGCAGAAAAUGUGGUCCAUUUACACAGUAGAAUACUAGUCAGUUAUUAAAUACAAUGACUUCAUAAAAUCUCAGGCAAAUGGAUGGAGCUAGAAAAUAUCAUGCUGAGUGAGGUAACCCAGUCACAAAAAAACCCACACACUUUGUACUCACUGAAUAGAGGAUAUUAUCCAAAAAGCUCACAAUAGCCAUGAUAAAACCCACAGACCAUAUGGAGCUAAGGAGGAAGGAAGACCAGGGUGUGGAUGCUUCAGUUCUGCAUUGAGGAGGUUACAGGAUUAUUGCAGGAGGUGGAGGAAUAAGGGGACCAGGGAGGGAGACAGGAGGAGGAGGAAAUAAGGGGGCAAUA